GCCCGGGUAGCUCAGGGGUAGAGCGUUUCCUUGGUAAGGAAAAGGUCGUCAGUUCGAUUCUGAUCCUGGGCU
rnacentral:tRNA from 1 species